UACGAAGGGUGCAAGCGUUACUCGGAAUUACUGGGCGUAAAGCGUGCGUAGGUGGUUUGUUAAGUCUGAUGUGAAAGCCCUGGGCUCAACCUGGGAAUUGCAUUGGAUACUGGCAGGCUAGAGUGCGGUAGAGGAUGGCGGAAUUCCCGGUGUAGCAGUGAAAUGCGUAGAUAUCGGGAGGAACACCAGUGGCGAAGGCGGUUGCCUGGAGCUUUGCUGACGCUGAGGCGCGAAAGCGUGGGGAGCGAUCCGG
rnacentral:rRNA from 1 species